rnacentral:lncRNA from 1 species
CCUUCAAUUUACAAGGUAUUAAAUGUUUGUAAACACCAGUAACUUUCAGUGAAAAUUGACAAUAUAGGUAUCUGAAAAACUAAUAAUUACAAAAUGUAUAUUAUAAAUUUAAAAACAUAAAAUUUUAAUACAGUAGCUCACAAUACAGUAGCCCCAGUGCUAAAUACUUUAUGUGACUUAACUCAUUUAAUUCUUAUACAAAUUCAAUAAGGUAAUGAGCAUUUUUACUUUACAGAUAAGGAAACUGAAGAACAGAAAUUAAGGAAUUUAUCCCAAUGGUCUUGCUAGAGGUUGGAAUCAACACCAGAUCCAAACAUCAGCACUCAGGUUGCGGAGUGCUGUACUAUACAGACCCUGUGGCUGUGUCUCCAAGAUCCAUGUCUCCAAACUGAGCAGGUGUUACAGUUCCUCACAGCCUGAUGGUCUGACACAAUCUUUGGAGUUGCAGAGUCGUCAUUUUAUCCCAUUCUACCAGAAAAUCUCCUCAAACCUGAAGGAAAACAAAUACGGCACGGAACUCCACGGCAAUGGAAUAGCAUACUACCCAAAAGGUUUAAACAAUAUACUCCUAAACUUCAGAUGAAUCUAGUGUCUUGGCUAUACAGCCCUGCCCACUGGAGGCCAUGAGAUUUGUUUUAUCUACACUACUGGGAUGCUGUAAGGUUUAUGGAGAUAAUGGAUGUGAGACUGCUUGGUAUAAUGCAAUUCAGAUACAAGGAGUUGUUCUGCAUAUAUAUAUUAAUUUAAUAUUUAUACCUCCCUUCAAAAUGAUUUUAU